UUCAGAUUUGACCACCAUUACCAUUAAGGGACCAUCAACCAAUCAAAUGCAUAUGAUAUAUUUGAUCAACCAUUAUAUUGAAAGUGUGAGUUUACUCAUAAACUAAUUAUAAAUCAACUUACAUGCAAUGCUUCAUGCAAUCAUCUAGUUAUGCACCAGUCAAUGUAAAUCCCUGCCCCCAACCGGGGAGGGGCGGAAGGUUUAACGGGGAAAGUGGUCAGUUUUGAUUAUAAAUUUGUCCCCGAUGAUGGGAGACUUGGACAGUGGUUAACAUAUAUAUCCUGUGUUGCUGUUUUAGUUUUCUUGACAAGAAAA
rnacentral:lncRNA from 1 species